rnacentral:lncRNA from 1 species
CCCGAUCAGCAGGUACUCAGUAAACCAUCAGGUAAAGUCCUGUACAUUCACUCUACAUACGGACAUACCUUGCUGCUAAAGCAGCGAUACAUUACAUAGACAGAAGACAAUCAGACUGUCAGCAAAUCCACGCAGCGCAAGUCGUUUCUCAAGGUCAAGCUUGCACUGUCACAGGUCAACCAAGCCCAGAUGGUUGCUUUGAUGGCCACCACCAGUCUGGGAACAUCAUAACUACCUCCUUGGAAUAUCACCUCAUUUCGAGAUCACCACCCAUAGAGAUGCAUGAGGGACUAAGUUCCAACCUUGACUCCCUGACCAUCCCACAGUGAAAAUCAAGCUAGGUUGCUGGUUUCUGGUUGGAGUUCCAUUGAAGUCAUGGCGAUGCUGACAAUUCUCAUCCUGGAUCGAGAGAGAUUUAUGGAUUAUUGAAUCAAUUGUAAAAGGAAAUGAUUAUGUCAAAAUAUAGAGCUUCUUCCCUUUAGCAUUUUAGAUUACUUUGUAGGCCAUGGAUUACUCUAGAUGGACUUUUGAAAUAAUUAUUAUUCAUCAUCAACUUUUCAAGGAUUCUGGAGCAAAAAUCACCACCUACAUGGAGGGUGAAAGACCUUGUGGAUGACAUAAGGAUGAAUUUAGAGAAGCUUACGGAGACAGACUUAUUGCACACUUUCAGAGAGAGUAAUCAGGUAGCAGAUCACCUUGCUAAUCUGGGUGCUCUCAUGGAGGGUGCACCGACUUUUUGUAAUCCCUUAAGUGAGGAGUUGAGUAUGCUUGUUACUAACGAUGCCUCUGGCAAGUUGUACACUAGACAUUAAGUCUGAAAGUUCUGAGUUAAUAAUAAUCUGGUCGGGGUCUGCCUAACCCCAGCUUGCAAUUUGCAAAAAAAACUUUUCAACACUGAAUUGCUCCAUGUCAAUAUGUCAUAUACAUAGUUCCGUUUACUGAUAUUUCAGUAAAGCACCUAGUAUGCAGACAGAAAACAUAAUAAUAUGACUGAGUAUUUUGUAAUAUCUAACGUUACUUUCCUCAAAGAAGUUUACCUGAAAACGUUAAGAAGCAACUUAAGGGUGUUCCUAAGCUCUUGUUGUGACUUGUGCGGAUGUUCGUUUGCAAGAGCAACCUCUCAAUCAUCGUCUACCAUAGGAUUCGACACUGGCCUCUGUAGCUUCUCAACCUUAAAAAACCAAAUGCAACUAUGUUGAGUUCAAAGUGAAAGAAGGUAAGAAAAACAUUCACCUAAUGGAAUCGAUGCAGUGUUCUCCAAAAGAACAGGGCUACACAUAUACUGAUAAAGCUGAUAGAAUCUCUGGAUACUAAGACCAAGCCAGCCUUCAUAGCUGGAAGACCAGUCUAGUGAAGGUGUAGGUAGUCAGUCCAGCCAAGAUCGAAAGCGGCCGCGUAUAUGAAGCUGAUGCUAGCCCAACAUCCCCUAAGAUCGAUCGGAGUAGAGAUAAGAUUAAGAAGCCAUAGGAAGGGAUGAAGCGGGGCAAUCAAUCAAGGUACCUGAGGUCAGAAAUAUAGCAUCACACUUCAGUACAGCAUCCACGAAAAAAAAACAUUUACAACCCUAUAAAUACACAGCACUGAGCGGUCAGUAGGUGCAACACCAGAGCAGAGCAAAUGGGAACUUGCAGGAUGAGAAAUGUAACACUACAUAAAGUAACAGUCCUUUUACUGACCACAGGCUCCUUGAGCACUGAACAAGUGAGCAGCAUUUCCUCCUUUCCUUGGAUGUACUCGCUCAAAAAGAAAUUUUAUUUAUGCGCUCAAUAAUUGAUAACUCCAUAUAACAUCGCUGCAAUUGGUGGUAAUCGGCAAUAUCAACUUAAUGUAUGUAAUUACUUCAUGAGAUGGCCUGGGAGCCAAAAAAAUCAACAUAUAUAGCUACAGACCCCCAAGAGAGGUUCAGAUAGCAAAAGCCCUGGAAACUACUCCAUGGAAAUCUGCUAACCUGGUGGCUGCUUUACAUCUUGUGUUGACUCAAUUGGAAGACUAUGGAAUUGUGCACAUUCAUGAGAAGCAGAUCAAGCAGCUGAUAAUCUGGCUUCUGAAAAGUGCUAGAUAGAACAAAAUGAAGCUUCUUUGUCCCUCCCCUGAAUAUGUAAGAUUAUGAGUUAACAAUACAGGUAAGCAGUCGGCCUAACCCAAUUUCAAAAGAAAAGUCCGAAGCAUAUACUUUUGUUUUCAUAAUGCAAGCCGGUGUUUUAUUGAUAAAUAAUAAAAAUUACAGCUCAGGCAUGUUGCCUUACAAUCAAAAUAACAUUUAGGCAGUUUCCACUUCCCAGAGGGAAAACUUAUAGCUGUGCACUCAUACUGCUCCCUCGACCAACUUUAUAAAAAAUACGAUAAAACAUGUGGAGCAAUCUAAAUUCUAGUUUAUAAUCCAAGGAGGUACCACAAACUAGCUACCACUGCAACAAUAAUAGAUUUUUUGAUCAUUCAAUGCAAAAGGUUCAACAAUCACUAGCUUGAUCGAAGAAGUUUUGCAACACCGCCACAAAUAAGAAGGCCUCACUCAAUCCAAACUGACAAGGCUAUUGGAAUGAAGUAUAUAUGGUUUGCAGUUUGCACAAUAUCUGGUCCUUUUUGAGAAUUCCGAUUUUCGUGCAUUUCUGGCUCUUCAAAUCAUAGAGCAACAGCUGAUCUUCGUCAUGUACGAGAACUUUCACUUUCACGAGAUCUAGUAAGUUCCUGCUAUCAAAAUCUCUCAUGGCAACAAGGCAAAUGUCGUCGAACAAGAAGCUGCUUAGAAAGCAAGGUCGGUUCGACAAGGACGGAAGAGAAAUUGCAUGAGAUUUGGUCCACACACACUUAAGUCUAUCCUCCAAAACAAACAAACAUCUCAAGUUUAAAUUGAUCGACAGUGGUGACUGGUGAGGCACAAUAAUCCUCUAACCUCUGAUAAUAGGUGGAGAACAUUGGACCUCACAAGAUCAAACAUGUCACGCAAGUUCACCAGACGUAGUGGAAUUUUUACCUUGUUAAACAUCCUCGUCUCGAUAUGUAUUGAAUAAAUGCAGUAGCAUUCUUUGGUGGACAGAGCACCAGACUCACCAUCAUCUUCAUCUUUAGCCAACCAAUGCAACUCAUUUUGAAAAAGAAGGAUUUGGGACAAUAUGAUGAAGUAUGGCAGGUGUUUAUUCUGAUCAAUAGAGCAAAACUCCCACUCAUGAUCUCCCAAAGUAAGCACAGUAAAUGCGGGCUGAGACACAAUUCCAAACACCUUGUUGUAUCUAUCAAUGAGAGUAUCACGAACCAAAGCCAAAUGACCACCUUGGCAAGUACGCGUCAAAAGAGGAAGAGGCUUAAACAUAAAGUGACAAGGUUGGAGAUGUAACUGUCUAACUUUUAUGCUCACUAUGGACCUGGAACUAACAACUUGGCAAAGACUACGGCCAUCUUGGAUGGUGUAGCUCUUUGCUCCCUGCUAGGCUAUACUAAUGUCCAAGUUCAAACUGAUUCCAAAAUGGCUCUACUAUGGCUAAAGGAGGAGCUACCUAUUCCAUGGUCUCUUAAAAAUUGGUGGGCACAUUUCAGAGUUCUGACAACAUCUAUGACUGUCAGGGCUAUUCAUGUGUAUAGGGAGGGGAAUAAUGCUGCAGAUUAUUUAUCCAAGCAAGACUUAAAGUACAAAUCUAUGGGGGCUGUGAACUAUCAUGUAGAUGAAGACCUCAAGCUAUCAAUCACAAGUGACAAGUUCAACAUUCCAUACAUCAGACAUGUCCAACAAUAACAUAGAAAGCAGAUUACAAGUUCAAAUCAAGGUUUAUGCUGACACAGUUUGUGCAUUUCUGGAACUGGGAAGGACACAACCAAGGUCUAGCAGCAGGAAAGACUUAAAAGAGAUCACAAGAUUAGAAACUUACAAGGUUUCAGAGUCUGGGCUUCUUAACAUUCCUACCAUCUUCAAUACCAUCCACAGCUUCAGCUUCAGCUUCCUCAUCUUCAUCAGUACCUGCAUCAUUGUUAGAUAUCUCUCCAAGAGUGGUGGAUGCAAGCAGACAACUCUCACAAUGGGUUAUAGUGUUUCAAAGUGCACAUCACACAUAGAUCUCUGAACCGACAGCCAGGUCUGAUCGAAAAUCAUAGCUGCAAUCACACUGUGCUCACCAGAAGAAGCAGAAUCGCUGGAAGAAGAAGAGGCAGCCAUUUUUGUUCUAAGCUGCUUUUGC